AGGGCACCACCAGGAGUGGAGCCUGCGGCUUAAUUUGACUCAACACGGGAAAUCUCACCAGGCCCGGACACCGGAAGGAUUGACAGAUUGAGAGCUCUUUCUUGAUUCGGUGGGUGGUGGUGCAUGGCCCUUCUUAGUUGGUGGAGCGAUUUGUCUGGUUAAUUCCGAUAACGAACGAGACUCUGGCCUACUAACUAGAUGGAGGAUCCCUUCGUGGGUUCUUCACUGCUUCUUAGAGGGACGGGCGGCGUUUAGCCGCACGAGAUUGAGCAAUAACAGGUCUGUGAUGCCCUUAGAUGUUCUGGGCUGCACGCGCGCUACACUGAAGGAAUCAGCGUGUCCUCCCCGCUCUGAAAAGAGUGGGUAACCCGUUGAAACUCCUUCGUGAUGGGGAUUGGAGAUUGUAAUUAUUCUCCAUGAACGAGGAAUUCCCAGUAGGCGCGAGUCAUCAGCUUGCGUCGAUUACGUCCCUGCCCUUUGUACACACCGCCCGUCGCUACUACCGAUCGAGUGAUUUAG
rnacentral:rRNA from 1 species